AGUGAACGCUGGCGGUAGGCCUAACACAUGCAAGUCGAACGGCAGCACAGUAAGAGCUUGCUCUUACGGGUGGCGAGUGGCGGACGGGUGAGGAAUACAUCGGAAUCUACUUUUUCAUGGGGGAUAACGUAGGGAAACUUACGCUAAUACCGCAUACGACCUACGGGUGAAAGCAGGGGAUCUUCGGACCUUGCGCGAUUGAAUGAGCCGAUGUCGGAUUAGCUAGUUGGCGGGGUAAAGGCCCACCAAGGCGACGAUCCGUAGCUGGUCUGAGAGGAUGAUCAGCCACACUGGAACUGAGACACGGUCCAGACUCCUACGGGAGGCAGCAGUGGGGAAUAUUGGACAAUGGGCGCAAGCCUGAUCCAGCCAUACCGCGUGGGUGAAGAAGGCCUUCGGGUUGUAAAGCCCUUUUGUUGGGAAAGAAAAGCAGCAGGUUAAUACCCCGCUGCUCUGACGGUACCCAAAGAAUAAGCACCGGCUAACUUCGUG
rnacentral:rRNA from 1 species